CAGACCCCUAUUGUUAGUUGCCAUCAUUCAGUUGGGCACUCUAGCGAGACUGCCGGUAAUAAACCGGAGGAAGGUGGGGAUGACGUCAAAUCAUCAUGCCCUUAUGACCUGGGCUACACACGUGCUACAAUGGUUGGUACAACGAGUUGCGAGUCGGUGACGGCGAGCUAAUCUCUUAAAGCCAAUCUCAGUUCGGAUUGUAGGCUGCAACUCGCCUACAUGAAGUCGGAAUCGCUAGUAAUCGCGGAUCAGCACGCCGCGGUGAAUACGUUCCCGGGCCUU
rnacentral:rRNA from 1 species